GACGAACGCUGGCGGCGUGCUUAACACAUGCAAGUCGAACGGUAAGGCCCUGCGCUUGUGGGGUGCUCGAGUGUCGCAAGGGUGAGUAUCACGUGUGUAACCUGCCCUUUACUUUGGGAUAACUUUAGUAAACUGGGUCUAAUACCGGACAGGAGCUCCUGCUGCAUGGUGGGUGUUGGAAAGUUUCGGCGGUUGUGGAUGGACUCGCGGCUUAUCAGCUUGUUGGUGAGGUAGUGGCUUACCAACGCAUUGACGGGUGGCCGGCCUGAGAGGGUGACCGGCCACAGUGGGACUGAGAUAGGGCCCAGACGCCAACGGGAGGCAGCAGUGGGGAAUAGUGCACGAUGGGCGGAAGCCUGAUGGAGGAACGCCGGGUGCGGGAUGACGGCCGUCGGGUUGUAAACCGCUUGCGCCUGUAACGAAGCGAGAGUGACGGUAGUGGGUAAAGAAGCACCGGCUAACUACGUG
rnacentral:rRNA from 1 species